rnacentral:rRNA from 1 species
AUUGAACGCUGGCGGAAUGCUUUACACAUGCAAGUCGAACGGUAGAGGGGGCAACCCCUCGAGAGUGGCGAACGGGUGAGUAAUAUAUCGGAACGUGCCCAGUCGUGGGGGAUAACGUAGCGAAAGUUACGCUAAUACCGCAUACGAUCUAAGGAUGAAAGCGGGGGAUCGCAAGACCUCGCGCGAUUGGAGCGGCCGAUAUCAGAUUAGGUAGUUGGUGGGGUAAAGGCUCACCAAGCCAACGAUCUGUAGCUGGUCUGAGAGGACGACCAGCCACAAUGGAACUGAGACACGGUCCAGACUCCUACGGGAGGCAGCAGUGGGGAAUUUUGGACAAUGGACGCAAGUCUGAUCCAGCCAUUCCGCGUGCAGGAUGAAGGCCCUCGGGUUGUAAACUGCUUUUGUACGGAACGGAAAGGUCUCUCUUAAUACGGGGGACUCAUGACGGUACCGUAAGAAUAAGCACCGGCUAACUACGUGCCAGCCGCCGCCGUAA